UGGGGAAUAUUGCACAAUGGGCGCAAGCCUGAUGCAGCCAUGCCGCGUGUGUGAAGAAGGCCUUCGGGUUGUAAAGCACUUUCAGCGAGGAGGAAGGUGGUGAGCUUAAUACGCUCAUCAAUUGACGUUACUCGCAGAAGAAGCACCGGCUAACUCCGUGCCAGCAGCCGCGGUAAUACGGAGGGUGCAAGCGUUAAUCGGAAUUACUGGGCGUAAAGCGCACGCAGGCGGUUUGUUAAGUCAGAUGUGAAAUCCCCGGGCUCAACCUGGGAACUGCAUUUGAAACUGGCAAGCUAGAGUCUCGUAGAGGGGGGUAGAAUUCCAGGUGUAGCGGUGAAAUGCGUAGAGAUCUGGAGGAAUACCGGUGGCGAAGGCGGCCCCCCUGGACGAAGACCGACGCUCAGGUGCGAAAGCGUGGGGCAGCAAACAGGAUUAGAUACCCUGGUAGUCCACGCUGUAAACGAUGUCGAUUUGGAGGUUGUGCCCUUGAGGCGUGGCUUCCGGAGCUAACGCGUUAAAUCGACCGCCUGGGGAGUACGGCCGCAAGGUUAAAACUCAAAUGAAUUGACGGGGUC
rnacentral:rRNA from 1 species